rnacentral:rRNA from 1 species
UACGUAGGGUGCAAGCGUUGUCCGGAAUUAUUGGGCGUAAAGAGCUCGUAGGCGGUUUGUCGCGUCGAAUGUGAAAACCCGUGGCUCAACUACGGGCUGGCGGUCGAUACGGGCAGGCUGGAGUUCGGUAGGGGAGACUGGAAUUCCUGGUGUAGCGGUGAAAUGCGCAGAUAUCAGGAGGAACACCGGUGGCGAAGGCGGGUCUCUGGGCCGAUACUGACGCUGAGGAGCGAAAGCGUGGGGAGCGAACAGG